CCCUUAGAUGUUCUGGGCCGCACGCGUGCUACACUGAGUAAUUCAAUGGGUAAGGGAACGCUAGAGCAUUACCUAAUCUUGAAAUUUGCUCGUGAUGGGGAUCGACGGUUGCAAUUUUCCGUCGUGAACGAGGAAUACCUUGUAGGCGCAUGUCAUCAUCACGCGCCGAAUACGUCCCUGCCCUUUGUACACACCGCCCGUCGCUCCUACCGAUUGAGUGAUCCGGUGAGGCUCUGGGACCUGGACGGAAAGAGCGUUUCGCUUGUUCUGUUUGGGAAACUUGGUCGAACCUUAUCAUUUAGAGGAAGGAGAAGUCGUAACA
rnacentral:rRNA from 1 species